rnacentral:lncRNA from 1 species
ACCCGCCGCGCCGACGCCGCCACCGGCUGCGCACCUGCCGCGCUUGCUGCGGGGAAGCCAGGCUCUGCUGUGGCGGCGGCGGCGGCGGCGGCGGCUGGCGGGGAGGAGACGCGGACUCCCACUCGCGGCCCUAUCGCUUGCUCCCCGCCUCCCCGCCAGAGCUGCGCCACCAGGCUCUGGGCGCGCUCCCAUGAUCGGAAGGCUGAGAGCCGUCUCCCAGCUCCACCCUUGACUUCUGAACCUCAGUUGCUGCUUCUGUCAAAUGGGAGCACGUCCACCUACCAGUGCUAGACUGGAGAGAUCAGGAAAGGGGUGCUAAAGUUACAAACUGUAAAGGGCUGUAGCGAUCACCAAGGCAUCGGAAGGAAACUGGCCAAGAAAGGCAAGUCUCUUAGCUUUGCUGGGCCUCGGUUUCCUUAUCUGUAACAUGGGAAUGAGUAACCCUUCCUCAUAAGCAGAUGAUGCUCGUGACGUGGAUGGAACGCAGAGCAGGACAAGGGCAGUGGCUGCCGUGGGGUCAUUAUUACUGUUGCUGUUAGCCCAGGCCAGAAUCUGCAUUCCCUCUUCUUACUUGGAUACCCCGGUUUUCCCUGGUUCUCAGCACACGUUUAGGAAAUGGGGGGCUUGGAUCACAAAAGGAUUUUCAGGGUCAGGGGCUUGCCCAAGACUGGGGAUUGGCUCCAUCCCUAACUCUCUGAACCAAGCUUUCCAUCUGUAAAAUGGGGUUGACAACAACUUCCCUGAAACCCACAGACAUAUAAAGACCAAUGAGAAACUCAGAAACACCUGGUAAACUGCGAAGUACUACCCACAUGCAAAGACUGUAAUUAUUUCUUCCAGGUGCCUCUUUGCCCUAAAGAGUCAAGGAUGAGUCAAGAACCAAAUGAGAUGAGCCAGGAGGAUCCCUGUGAGAAGGGCCGGAUGGCAUUCCCCUUUACCCAUGGAGCUCACUGCAGUGUGCAGCGAUGGCCCAAGGGUGGAGAGGAAGGUCAGGCUGGGUCCUGCCCUUGGGGGCUCAUGUCCCAGUUAGCCCACGACGCAAAGGCCCAGGUGUGAUGGGAGCACAGAAGAGGGGGGAAGCCGACUCUCUGGGCAAGGGGGAUCAGGCUGGUACAGGGGGUACUUCCCAGAGGAGUCAGCCUUGACGGGACUCUCUGAAAAAUGGUUGUAGCUCAGGUGGGGAGAGGGGCAAGGCACGUGCUGGACAGAGACGGAUUCCAGCAGAAAAGUCCAGAGACAAGAAAGGGGGUAGUGUGCUCAGGAAAAGGGCGUGAAACGUGACUGAAAUGCAGGAUGGGGAGAGGAAAUGGAUUCAAGAUAAAGUCAAAUUGGAGCCGGGCAUGGUGGUGCACGCCUGUAAUCCCAGCUACUUGGGAGGCUGAGGCAGAAGAAUCACUUGAACCCCAGAGGCAGAAUUUGCAGUGAGCCAAGAUCACACCACUGCACUCCAGCCUGGGUGACAGAGUGAGACUCUGUCUCAAAAAAAAAAUUUAAAAAAAAAAAAAGAUGAAGUCGAAUUGGGAAUGGCCUCCAGUUACCACCCUAGGAAGCUCAGACUUUAUCCUGAGGUUGACAGGGAGCCACGCAGGGUUUGCAGCAGGAGUGACAUGGUCAGUUGUGGGUUCUAGAAAGAUCUCUGUGGUAGGCUGGGCAUGGUGGCUCACACUUGUAAUCCCAGCACCUUGGGAGGCCAAGGCAGGUGGAUCACUUGAGGUCAGGAAUUCAAGACCAGCCUAGCCAACAUAGUGAAACCCCGUCUCUACUAAAAAUACAAAAAUUAGCCAGGUGUGGGGGUACGUGUCUAUAGUCCUAGCUACUUGGGAGGCUGAGGCAGGAGAAUUGCUUGGACCCGCGAAGCGGAGGUUGCCGUGAGCCGAGAUUGCACCACUACACUCCAGCCUGGCCAACAGAGUGAGACUCCAUCUCAAAAAAAAAAAAAAUCUCCAUAAUAGGUAUGGAGGAUGGACAAAGGGGGAGGAAAGGGAGGACAGAUUCAAGUUGUUGUGGUGAGCUGAAGGAGGCCUGAACCAAGGUAAUGGCAAUGGGGUGGGGUGGGGGGGAGUUGGGCAAGAACUUUCUGAAACUGAACAGCAGUAGAUCCAGGAGAACAAUUAGAGGGAGAGACACAAAAUAAAGGUGACAGAAUUUCCUGUAUCAGGAGCUGAGGUAGAUGAUGACAGCAUUAACCCAGGAAGGUGGCAGGCAGAGCGAGGUCACCUUUGAGGUACCUCCCAGAUGUCCAUUUCCUCAAGAACUGACUGCACUACACACCCAGAUAUAGGACUAGAUAAGACCCAAGAUCAUCGAGGGAGAGGCAAGAGAGAGAGAAUAUUAGGAAUCUUUUGGUCGUAAGUGACAGAAACUCAGUUCAAAUUAGGUUAUGGAAAACAAAACAAAAAGAAAAACGAUACUACAAACGUAGUGGCCCCUUUAUCUUAGAGUUUCAAGGGUGAGUCAAACUUCGGGCAUUGCUGGAUCCAGGGUUUCCAGUGAUGACAUUGGGUUAUCUCCCCAUCACACCCAUCAGUCAGUUCUGUUUGUCUCUGCCUUUCUUUAAGAAUGGGGCUUCUCGGCCGGGCAUGGUGGCUCAAGCCUGUAAUCCCAGCACUUCGUGAGGCUGAGCCAAGCGGAUCACUUGAGGUCAGGAGUUCAAGACCAGCCUGGCCAGCAUGGUGAAACCCUGACUCUACUAAAAAUACAAAAAUUAGCCAGGUGUGGUGGUGAGUGCCUAUAAUCCCAGCUACUUGGGAGGCUGAGGCAGGAGAAUUGCUUGAACCCGGGAGGCGGAGGCUGUAGUGAGCCAAGAUCGCACCACCACACUCCAGCAUGGGUGACAGAGUGAGACUCUGUCUCAAACAAAAAAAAAAAAAAAAAAAGAAUGGGCCUUCUCUCCCAUGGCAGAUAGGCAUUCUCCAGUCCCAGGAAAGAUGCUCAAAUGUUUACAUCCUACCAGCUCUCAUUUCAGGAGAGAGCCAAGCUUCGCCACUGGCUCCAUCGAAAGUUCCAGGGAGGGCUCUGAUUGGCUCAGCUUGUAUCACAUGCCCAGGCCCAAACCAAUCACUGUAUAUCAAGGAAAAUGGGACACUGUAAUUGGCCUACUUGCCUUCCCAGUGGGUGGGGCCCUGUGAGGGAUACCUGACCAGAGCACAUGGACAGGAAAUGAGAAGAUUGGAAAAAUAUGCCGGGCAGACAAAAGAGGUUCCAGCCCUGCCUCAGUUUACAAUGAGGCUUGAGGGCAGAACCCUGGGGAACACUAAUAUUCAAGGGUUGGCUGGAACUUGGGAAGGAGACUGAGGGGUAUGAGAGAGGUUCUGGGAGAAGCAGCGUCUUCGAGGGAGGAGAGAAGUUCUACAAGGAGGUAAUGGUCAAAGGCAAAUUCUGGAAGGGGUCACUCACACUCACUGUUCUGGGCUCCAACCACCCACCCUCACCUGACAUGGAAAGGCUCUGGGACCCGGUUUCACCAACACUGAUUAUGCCACCUCCCCCAGCAGAGUCUGUUUGCUUAUCUGUGAAAUGGGGGCAAUGACAGAACACCCACCCCAUAGGGUGACAGAGAAGGCUGAGUGAGAGACACUGAGAAAUGCUUACCCCGGUGCAAUGUAGCACCACUCAGGCACCAUUCAUUCAUUUAUUCAUUUAUUCAUUCAUUCAUUCACUCACUCAUUGAACAAUCUUUAACUGAGUGCCUCCUUUGUAUCAGUCCCUAUGCCAAACACAGUGGAUGUAAAGAAGACACAGGGAUCUGAGGAUGCGUGGGAUACAGACCUGAUGGUGGAUGGUUAUGAUACAGGGUGAUAAGUGCUGAAGGGACUGGGUUUUGCAAGCCCAGAGAAAUUUGGUCCACAUGGAGGCCCCAGGGCAGCCCCCUGAGGAGACAACAUUUGAGAUGACAUUUCAUGAGCACUCACCAUGGGUCAGGCACUGGGUGUGCCAAGCGUUUCCACGUUGUUCCUGUGACGUCGGGGAGGGGAUGGGGCCCAGAGAGGGUGGGAGGCUUACUCAGGGUCACCGUGCUCGUAAGUGGGGACACCAGGGCUGGCCCACCUCCACUGGAUGAGUUUGCCAGAUGGGGAGAGAGGAGAGACAGGAUGUCAGGCAGAGGGCAAAAGACAAUGUGACCCAAUCCUCUAGGAUGGGGAGAGGAAGCUGGGAUUCCCAUAGGGAAAGCCCAUAUCUGUAGAAGGGUGGGCCAGAGGCAGUAGGACAAGGGCAAGGUGAGAGCCAUGACCUCCAGCAAGUCCUGUGCCUCCUGGAACCUCCGUCUCCUCCUCUAUGAACUCAGGAUAAGGACAUCUAUUAUAUUAUCUUCAUCUCCAUUUUACAGGUGAGAAACAGAUUAGAUCAAGGCUAUCCAGUUGCAGAGCCCACGAGCUGAGCCAUGCACUGUGGUUCUGCUGGAGCAGAUGAGAUGUAUGAGUUCCCUGCAAACCCUCCUGUUUGUCUCAAGAGUGGGAGCCAUGAAAAGCACCCCAAGAGUAGGGGGGAGACUUCAUGGGAGCAGCCCUCAGAGAGACCCAGAAGAUGCUCCUGUGCUCCUACCCAGAAAUUCAGUCUCUUAAGGACCUUAGAGACAGUUUCAUUCAUGCAUUAGUGAGGAGCGAUGCCUACAACUUGCAAAUGGAGAAACUGAGUUCAGAAAGGAGGGAGUGACUUGUCCAAGGUCACACCACAAGCUGGUGGUAGAAAUCCCUCCAGAAUGCAGGCAUCCCAACAUCUGGUUUUGUCCAUUUCUCCAUUCCCCUGACUCCUCACAAAUGACUUGUCCCCUUGUCCCCAGCAUGGUGAUCUCUACCGGUCCUGAGCAUUUAAUAUGGGCCAGACUCUUCGCCUUACUCUGACUCUCCAAGCCACCCUAUGAAGUGGUAUCCAAAGGCAACUUACUUACUUAAAUACAUGGCUUAUUGAUAGUAUGUUACAAAACACAUAAAAUAAUAAUUGAUGUAUCUGCAUUUCAUGACCACCCUAUAAAUUGCACAAUUCCUAUUUUACAGAUGAGAAAAUUAAGGCUCAGAGAUGGGAAAAGACUGUCUCAGGGACACACAGCGAGCAAGCAACAGGGUGAGGAUUAGUAUCCAGGCAUCUCUGACUCCAAAGCAGGGGUGUCUUGUCCACACCCCAAGCUGCUGUCAGGGAACAGAUGGGAGAGCCUGCAAGGGGAGGUGAGAGGAAGGUGCUGAGCCCCAGUCAUGAGCGAGGUGACAGUUAUUGUAGUGGCUAAACAGGUGGCCCCUGAGAUCAGGCUGCCUGGGCUGGAAUCCUGGUCUACCACUCCUUAGCACUGUGCGUUCAGGCAAACCAUUGGUCCGCUCUGAGCCUUGACUUCCUUAUCUGUAAAAUGGGCGUGGUAAUAAUAUGCCACCCUCAUUAGGUUCCUGGAAGGGUUAAAUGAGUGUGUAGCCCAUGGUACAUGCAAUGGAAGUGCUGCCUCUUAUUUGUGUGGCAUUCUGCAGUGACUGUCUCGUGUACUCUCAAUAGUGCUUAUAACUCUUACGGGUUCUGGAGCUAGCCACCUGGCCUCUGCUACCACUUCCUAGCAGGGCGGCAGAGCUUAGAGGGAGAUUUAAGGUGAGGAUGGUGAGGUUUAAGUCCUGGGUCCCUCAUUGGCAUGGCCUUGUACUUCAUUAUUUAAAGAGACCCCCCCGCCCUCAGUAUUGUAUAACCUUUACUGACAUCCUGCCAAGCCUGGAUCUGCCCCUGUGUGAGGAACUCUACCUCUCUGUGUGCCUCAGUUUUCUCAUCUGUUAAGUGGGAAGAAUGUUAAUUGUGCCAAAUAAAUGAAUUAAUACGUGUAGAAUGCUUUAAAAGUGCCUGGUGCAUAGUAAAUGCCCAAUACCUAUUGGCUUCUUAAGUAA